AUUGAACGCUGGCGGCAUGCCUUACACAUGCAAGUCGAACGCGCCAUCGGGGCAACCUGAUGGUGAGUGGCGAACGGGGGAGUGAAGCAGCGGUACGUGCCCCGUCGUGGGGGAUCACCAGUCGAAAGACUGGCGAAUACCGCAUACGACCCGGGGGUGAAAGGCGAGGACCGCAAGGCCGCCACAGAUGGGAGGGUCCGAUGUCUGAUUAGCUAGUUGGCGGGGUAAAGGCCCACCAAGGCGACGAUCAGUAGCUGGUCUGAGAGGACGACCAGCCACACUGGGACUGAGACACGGCCCAGACUCCUACGGGAGGCAGCAGUGGGGAAUUUUGGACAAUGGGCGCAAGCCUGAUCCAGCCAUGCCGCGUGCGGGAAGAAGGCCUUCGGGUUGUAAACCGCUUUUGGCAGGAACGAACCGGCGACUCCUAAUACGGGUGGCUAAUGACGGUACCUGCAGAAUAAGCACCGGCUAACUACGUGCCAGCCGCCGCGGUAAUAC
rnacentral:rRNA from 1 species